GAUGAACGCUGGCGGCGUGCCUAAUACAUGCAAGUCGAGCGAACGGACGAGAAGCUUGCUUCUCUGAUGUUAGCGGCGGACGGGUGAGUAACACGUGGAUAACCUACCUAUAAGACUGGGAUAACUUCGGGAAACCGGCGCUAAUACCGGAUAAUAUUUUGAACCGCAUGGUUCAAAAGUGAAAGACGGUCUUGCUGUCACUUAUAGAUGGAUCCGCGCUGCAUUAGCUAGUUGGUAAGGUAACGGCUUACCAAGGCAACGAUGCAUAGCCGACCUGAGAGGGUGAUCGGCCACACUGGAACUGAGACACGGUCCAGACUCCUACGGGAGGCAGCAGUAGGGAAUCUUCCGCAAUGGGCGAAGGCCUGACGGAGCAACGCCGCGUGCGUGAUGAAGGUCUUCGGAUCGUAAAACUCUGUUAUUAGGGAAGAACAUAUGUGUAAGUAACUGUGCACAUCUUGACGGUACCUAAUCAGAAAGCCACGGCUAACUACGUG
rnacentral:rRNA from 1 species